GACAGAGGCUGCCUGCAAGCCAGGAGAGGAGGCUUCGUCGGAAGCCUACCUUGCCAGCCUCUUGAUCUUGGAUUUCCCAGACUCUGGAAUGUGAUGUGUAACACACACAGUGACUCUGAUGAAUGAGAAGCACUGUCAGGACUCCUGAAGCGGCCAGGACCUUAACGAGCUCGACACAGCCCAACGCGGUAACGGUUAUGGCACUGUGAGGUUCUUCCAAGCUUGGUUGGCUGAAUGAGUGAAACACAUCUGCAGCUGUCUGACAGGAGAGAAAGAUACGU